AUUGAACGCUGGCGGCAUGCCUUACACAUGCAAGUCGAACGGUAACAGGUUAAGCUGACGAGUGGCGAACGGGUGAGUAAUGUAUCGGAACGUGCCCAGUCGUGGGGGAUAACUACUUGAAAGAGUGGUUAAUACCGCAUACGACCUGAGGGUGAAAGCGGGGGAUCGCAUGACCUCCCGCGAUUGGAGCGGCCGAUACCAGAUUAGCUAGUUGGUGAGGUAAAGGCUCACCAAGCCGACGACCGGUAGCUGGUCUGAGAGGACGACCAGCCACACUGAGACUGAGACACGGCCCAGACUCCUACGGGAGGCAGCAGUGGGGAAUUUUGGACAAUGGGCGCAAGCCCGAUCCAGCCAUGCCGCGUGUGGGAAGAAGGCCUUCGGGUUGUAAACCACUUUUGUCGGGGAAGAAACGGCUUGGGCUAAUACCCUGAGCUAAUGACGGUACCCGAAGAAUAAGCACCGGCUAACUACGUGCCAGCCGCCGCCGUAA
rnacentral:rRNA from 1 species